rnacentral:rRNA from 1 species
UACGUAGGGUGCGAGCGUUAAUCGGAAUUACUGGGCGUAAAGCGUGCGCAGGCGGUUUUGUAAGCCAGAUGUGAAAUCCCCGGGCUUAACCUGGGAAUGGCAUUUGGGACUGCAAGGCUGGAGUGCGGCAGAGGAGACUGGAAUUCCUGGUGUAGCAGUGAAAUGCGUAGAUAGUCAGGAGGAAUACCGAUGGCGAAGGCAGGUCUCUGGGCUGACACGUGCGCUCAUGCACGAAGCGUAGGG